UAAAACAUCAACUCCCAUGGUGCAUUGCGUGUGUGUUCAUGUCGUCUUCUGCGGCCAUAGAAACCAGAGGCUCGCCGGGAAGUGGAGUGUCUUUUCCUAUCUCCCAUUUUCCACAGGUUUCGCGAGAUUUUCAUAGGCAGAUGGUGUGUGGCAACAUUUCUCUGCCAGACGAACUGAACAAUACUGAUAUGAAAACUGCGUAAAGUUGCCUUUGAAUUUCAGGAGGCAUGUCCAAGAAAAGGGGCAGAAAGCGGAGUAGUGGGGAACUGAGUGAUACAUUGACCCCAGACCCUAACAGCAUUUUGGGAGUCCGCAUUCAGCAUAACUGGCGUGAGAAGGGAAAUCAAAGCAAAUGGAAGGGAACAGUCCUGGACAGGCUAAGUGUGAACCCCUCUCUCUUCAUGGUGAAGUACGAUGGAUUUGACUGCGUCUAUGGCAUUGAGUUGUUCAAGGACGACAGAGUGUCGAACCUACAAGUUCUAGCUGAAAAAGUUGCUUUGUCUCCACAGUAAAUAACAAGUUAAAGAUUCCUCCCGGGGCUGAGGAGCUGGUGGGCAAAGCUGUGGAGCAUCUGUUUGAAAAGGAGGAUGGAGAGAAGAAUGAGUGGAGAGGCAUGGUCCUCUCAAGGGCUCCAAUAAUGACCAACUGGUAUUACAUCACUUAUGAAAAGGACCCCGUUCUUUAUAUGUACCAGCUGUGGGACGACUACGCUGAUGGAGACCUCAGAAUUUUGCCUGAAGCAGAGAAUAAGCACCUGUUGCCUGCAGACAGGAAGCCAGGGGAAGAGACGGAGAGCCUGGUGGGAAAACAAGUAGAGUAUGUUACCGACAAGGGUGUUAAGAGAACAGGCCUGGUGAUCUACCAGGUCCCAGCCAAGCCCUCUGUCUACUACAUCAAAUAUGAUGAUGACUAUCAUAUCCAUGUCUACGACCUGGUCAAAACCACCUAGAGAUAGUGGACAUUUUAUCUCACUCUCCAGCCUCCGUCCAUGUGCUUCUGUUCCACUCAUUGUUAUAAAUCUUGUUAUUAAAGCCAUGCCUGGGUUGUUAAGUUAAUAUGCUUUAUUGUUCAAAAGAAAGUGCAAUCUGCUUUUCAUAGACACAGCAGAACUGUAGCACAGCUAUGCUUGGCGGUUUCCAGGAGAGGGACUUGUUUUACUUGUUGCUGCUCUUACUUUGUACUUAGGACAGUCCAAAAUUGCACUGCCCAACAGCUGCAAGGUGCAGUUGUUACUGCAUUUGCAUUGUUGUCCCUGAGAUACUUUAUUGAUCUGUCCUUUAAGUAUAUUUAUCUAAAAAAAAAUCCCUGUAUGACCAAAAAGAAGCUCAAAAUAUCCUUUUGAAGACACCUUUUCUGUUUAUCAGCUAAGUAGCUGUAAGGCUAAGCCCGUGUACAUUGGUACAAAAAGUUCCUUUUAACCCUUUGGUUACCCAAAGCAUUAAAAUUAAUACUACUUAUAUGCAACUUUAUGUACCAAAAUGUGUGUUUAUACAUAAUAAGUUUAAACACAAAUAUGCUUCAGUGGAGAAGAUGAUUUCAGGCAUGUCAUGUGGUCGUAUCUUUCUUUGAAUGUACAACAUGGUAACUUAAAAAAGAUUAAAACAUGUUUUAACUUAUUUGACAACUUGCCAUUACAUUUAGCAGCACACUUAACAAACUGGUAUUUUUCUUUUGUUGUCUUCUGGUGCAUUUUUGUACCCAAAGGAGAAAAAUGUAUGUAGUGGUGCAUUUUUUGUCAUUGUCUUCUGAAAGCUGAAUUAUUGCAAAAUAGCCUAUACAAAUCUAAAACCUCUGAGUUUUCCCAAAAGCCUAAUUUUCAGUUUGAAAACAAAAGUCCAGGACCCAAAGAAAAGGCUGUUUUUAAAAUGACCUGUGUGUGUGUGUGUGGACGUGUCCUUACUAGGACAUUAACGCACGUACUGGGUUUUCAAUUGAUGCCUUCUACUGAGGCGUGUAUAAAAUCAUAUGAAUCCCCUCCUCUAAAGAGGAAAUGUACUCUUGCACCUUUGCACCAUGCCUUGUAUCAGAUCAGAUCAUUUUUUUCUGGUAAUGAAAUUGCACUUUGCUAAAUUCCAAUCUAAAAUUUGAUCACACAAAAAUCAUAAAGUGCCUUCUGGCUGGCUAAGUUGCAAUACUGUACAUACUGUAUCUGACUAGCUACGCACUUAAUGAGCUGUUGUGUGUGAAGGCUGCUGUUUAGUUUUCAUUUCGAGAUGAUGACAAUGACAGCUUUAGAUACGUUUUGCAAACAUCAGUUUAUAUUAGUGCUGUGUUUUCCUCUUAAUGCAGUAUGGAAAUGGUCUUUAAAUAUAACACGCAUUAUCAUUGGUUCUAUAAUCUCACUGUUGAUAUUGUGGGGAGCACUUUAUUGUAUAAAGUUUACAUGUUCUGGUUAGUUAUGGUCCUCUACAUUGCUUCCCAUGAAUGUUUUAUUCGUGAGAGCACAUGUGGCAGAAUAAAUGUCAUGUAAAACAUGCAUGAAGAAUGAAAGACAAAAAAAACACUAUUUAAUAUGUACAACUUGUGUAUAAUGCCAUGUAAUGUUGCCUGUUGUGACUAUUCUCAUUUAUAGGAAUAUCUCAUGAAAACACCACCAGCGUUUAGUUAAAUGGUCAUUCAUAUAAAUUAUAAACUGGAUAUUUAACAUGUAUAAUCAACUGACAAACUAGUGUGUUUACAGUAUCUAACUCACUCUAGUUCUAGUCAUUAUAACUUUGUCUUGCAAAAGUAUGCUUCUUGUGCGUAUUUCAUCCCCAACUUUGUCACCAUGUACUUUGUUGCUUUAAUUUCUAGCUUUCAAAACUCUGCAUGUGUCAUCCGCACAGAGUGCCUGGAGAUUUGAAAACCUUAAUUUUGACAAUAGGGAAGUGCCAAUGUGUGGCAGAAUCAGUGCUGUUUGUCAAACCCAUUUUAAGCAGGGGGGGGGGGGGGGGGGGGGUAAAGGCUUAAACUUUACAUCACCAUUAAAGGUGCUGUGGAGUGUUUCAGUGUUGUGUAAAGUUUCAACUGACUUUAUGUGCUCUUCUGCAUUCUUUUGAUCACCUCUUAUUCAGAAGUUGUAGCGACAUCAACAGACCACUGGUGUCAUUAUUAUGCUGUCAGAAGAAAUAAAGAAUUUUGCACAUUU